rnacentral:rRNA from 1 species
AGAGUUUGAUCAUGGCUCAGAACGAACGUUGGCGGCGUGCUUAACACAUGCAAGUCGAACGAGAAAGUUUUCUCCGGAGAACGAGUAAAGUGGCGCACGGGUGAGUAACGCGUAAGUAAUCUACCCUUGCAUCUGGAAUAACUACGGGAAGCUGUAGCUAAUACCGGAUACGUUCAUAGAGUUACGACUCUAUGAAGAAAGAUGACCUUUUCUUGAAAGUUAUCGUGCAGGGAGGAGCUUGCGUACCAUUAGCUAGUUGGUAGGGUAAAGGCCUACCAAGGCAACGAUGGUUAGCGGGUCUGAGAGGAUGAUCCGCCACACUGGAACUGGAACACGGACCAGACUCCUACGGGAGGCAGCAGUGAGGAAUAUUGCGCAAUGGGGGCAACCCUGACGCAGCGACGCCGCGUGGAUGAUGAAGGCCUUCGGGUCGUAAAAUCCUGUCAGAUGGGAAGAAAUGUAUAUAGGAAUAAUACCCUAUGUGCUUGACGGUACCAUCAAAG